AGGCUGCAACUCGCCUACACGAAGUCGGAAUCGCUAGUAAUCGCGGAUCAGCAUGCCGCGGUGAAUACGUUCCCGGGCCUUGUACACACCGCCCGUCACACCAUGAGAGUCGGGAACACCCGAAGUCCGUAGCCUAACCGCAAGGAGGGCGCGGCCGAAGGUGGGUUCGAUAAUUGGGGUGAAGUCGUAACAAGGUAUC
rnacentral:rRNA from 1 species